UGGUGAUUAUAGCUAGAAGGUAACACCCGUUCCCAUGCCGAACACGAUGGGUUAAGCUUCUAAGCGCCGAUGGUACUGCAAGGGCGACCUUGUGGGAGAGUAGGACGUUGCCAGGUU
rnacentral:rRNA from 1 species